rnacentral:rRNA from 1 species
AUUGAACGCUGGCGGCAGGCCUAACACAUGCAAGUCGAGCGGAUGAAGGGAGCUUGCUCCUGGAUUCAGCGGCGGACGGGUGAGUAAUGCCUAGGAAUCUGCCUGGUAGUGGGGGAUAACGUCCGGAAACGGGCGCUAAUACCGCAUACGUCCUGAGGGAGAAAGUGGGGGAUCUUCGGACCUCACGCUAUCAGAUGAGCCUAGGUCGGAUUAGCUAGUUGGUGGGUAAAGGCCCACCAAGGCGAAGAUCCGGAACUGGUCUGAGAGGAUGAUCAGUCACACUGGAACUGAGACACGGUCCAGACUCCUACGGGAGGCAGCAGUGGGGAAUAUUGGACAAUGGGCGAAAGCCUGAUCCAGCCAUGCCGCGUGUGUGAAGAAGGUCUUCGGAUUGUAAAGCACUUUAAGUUGGGAGGAAGGGCAGUAAGUUAAUACCUUGCUGUUUUGACGUUACCAACAGAAUAAGCACCGGCUAACUUCGUG